rnacentral:rRNA from 1 species
ACUCCUGCGGGAGGCAGCAGUGAGGAAUAUUGGACAAUGGGUGGAAGCCUGAUCCAGCCAUCCCGCGUGCAGGAAGACGGCCCUAUGGGUUGUAAACUGCUUUUAUCUGGGGAUAAACCUACUUACGUGUAAGUAGCUGAAGGUACCAGAAGAAUAAGCACCGGCUAACUCCGUGCCAGCAGCCGCGGUAAUACGGAGGGUGCAAGCGUUAUCCGGAUUUAUUGGGUUUAAAGGGUCCGUAGGCGGACUGAUAAGUCAGUGGUGAAAUCCGACAGCUUAACUGUCGAACUGCCAUUGAUACUGUUAGUCUUGAGUAAGGUUGAAGUGGCUGGAAUAAGUAGUGUAGCGGUGAAAUGCAUAGAUAUUACUUAGAACACCAAUUGCGAAGGCAGGUCACUAAGUCUUAACUGACGCUGAUGGACGAAAGCGUGGGGAGCGAACAGGAUUAGAAACCCGAGUAGUCCCA